rnacentral:rRNA from 1 species
AAAGUGAAUAGUGAAAUCUGGUCGCUCAACGAUCAAAACAUUAUUUAAACUCACGAGCUCGAGAGUGAUAGAGGUUACUAGAAUUUCUUGUGUAGGAGUGAAAUCCGUAGAUAUAAGAAGGAAUACCAAUGGCGUAGGCAGGUAACUAGAUCAUUUCUGACACUAAGGCACGAAAGCGUGGGGAGCGAACCGGAUUAGAUACCCGGGUAGUCCACGCCGUAAACUAUGGAUGCUA